ensembl:lncRNA
CAGACACGCAACAGAAAGCAGCUUGAGAUACAGUCUGGAAUUUCUCCAGAGAAUUUCACUGUGGAAGUCAGUCCAGGCAUUCAGUGGAAUAAGUGAUAUAGCAGAGAGAACACUGGAUCUGCACUGAGACUCAAGAGGUUCACUGCAGAGUUUGCCUUGAGCUUCAGAAGACUUUGAACUUGAGUUUUUAGCCCAUAUUGGAGCAACUUGGAGAUGGAGUGAAUGAAUUUUACAUUGUGAGAAGAGCAUCAGUUUUGCAGGCCACGGGAGGAAUGCUGUAGUUUGGAUACUAUCUGUCUCCACAAAGGAACUGUGAACCAUCAGUACCAUGUAAACAGUCAAGUUGUUUCUGCAACCAUACAGCAAAAUGGGAAGAACCAAAAUUUGCAAUUAGUUAUAGCCUGCACUCAUAGCUUAUUCACGUCAGAGAUACCAGAAUUUCAG